rnacentral:rRNA from 1 species
AGUGAACGCUGGCGGUAGGCCUAACACAUGCAAGUCGAACGGCAGCACAGUAAGAGCUUGCUCUUACGGGUGGCGAGUGGCGGACGGGUGAGGAAUACAUCGGAAUCUACUUUUUCGUGGGGGGUAACGUAGGGAAACUUACGCUAAUACCGCAUACGACCUACGGGUGAAAGCAGGGGAUCUUCGGACCUUGCGCGAUUGAAUGAGCCGAUGUCGGAUUAGCUAGUUGGCGGGGUAAAGGCCCACCAAGGCGACGAUCCGUAGCUGGUCUGAGAGGAUGAUCAGCCACACUGGAACUGGGACACGGUCCAGACUCCUACGGGAGGCAGCAGUGGGGAAUGUUGGACAAUGGGCGCAAGCCUGAUCCAGCCAUACCGCGUGGGUGAAGAAGGCCUUCGGGUUGUAAAGACCUUUUGUUGGGAAAGAAAAGCAGCAGGUUAAUACCCCGCUGUUCUGACGGUACCCAAAGAAUAAGCACCGGCUAACUUCGUG